GCUGCGCCGGCCGGCGGGGCGAGCUGCUGCCUUGCCGCGGCGGCAGCCGCAGCUUCCGAUGCGGCGCGCGCCU
rnacentral:tRNA from 1 species